UACGGGGGGGGCAAGCGUUGUUCGGAAUUACUGGGCGUAAAGGGCUUGUAGGUGGCCAACUAAGUCAGACGUGAAAUCCCUCGGCUUAACCGGGGAACUGCGUCUGAUACUGGAUGGCUCGAGUUUGGGAGAGGGAUGCGGAAUUCUCGGUGUAGCGGUGAAAUGCGCAGAUAUCAGGAGGAACACCGGUGGCGAAGGCGGGUCUCUGGGCCGUAACUGACGCUGAGGAGCGAAAGCGUGGGGAGCGAACAGG
rnacentral:rRNA from 1 species